rnacentral:rRNA from 1 species
GGGAAUCUACCUAGUUCUGCGGAACAACAGUUGGAAACGACUGCUAAUACCGCAUACGCCCUACGGGGGAAAGAUUUAUCGGAAUUAGAUGAGCCCGCGUAAGAUUAGCUAGUUGGUGGGGUAAUGGCCUACCAAGGCGACGAUCUUUAGCUGGUCUGAGAGGAUGAUCAGCCACACUGGGACUGAGACACGGCCCAGACUCCUACGGGAGGCAGCAGUGGGGAAUAUUGGACAAUGGGCGCAAGCCUGAUCCAGCCAUGCCGCGUGAGUGAUGAAGGCCUUAGGGUUGUAAAGCUCUUUCAGUGGGGAAGAUAAUGACGGUACCCACAGAAGAAGCCCCGGCUAACUUCGUGCCAGCAGCCGCGGUAAUACGAAGGGGGCUAGCGUUGUUCGGAUUUACUGGGCGUAAAGCGCACGUAGGCGGAUUGCUAAGUCAGGGGUGAAAUCCUGGAGCUCAACUCCAGAACUGCCUUUGAUACUGGCAAUCUCGAGUCCGGAAGAGGUGAGUGGAACUCCUAGU